rnacentral:rRNA from 1 species
UACGGAGGAUGCGAGCGUUAUCCGGAUUUAUUGGGUUUAAAGGGUGCGUAGGCGGGAUGCCAAGUCAGCGGUCAAAUACGGGGGCUCAACCUGCGUCCGCCGUUGAAACUGGCGUUCUUGAGUGGGCGAGAAGUACGGCGGAAUGCGUGGUGUAGCGGUGAAAUGCAUAGAUAUCACGCAGAACCCCGAUUGCGAAGGCAGCGUACCGGCGCCCAACUGACGCUGAAGCACGAAAGCGUGGGUAUCGAACAGG